rfam:Rhizoclosmatium globosum strain JEL800 BCR33scaffold_43, whole genome shotgun sequence.
UGCCCCUUGGUCUAGUAGUAUGAUUCCUGCUUCGGGUGCAGGAGGUCGCGGGUUCAAUUCCCGCAGGGGCCC